rnacentral:rRNA from 1 species
GUGGGGAAUCUUGCGCAAUGGGCGAAAGCCUGACGCAGCCAUGCCGCGUGAAUGAUGAAGGUCUUAGGAUUGUAAAAUUCUUUCACCGGGGACGAUAAUGACGGUACCCGGAGAAGAAGCUCCGGCUAACUUCGUGCCAGCAGCCGCGGUAAUACGAAGGGGGCUAGCGUUGCUCGGAAUUACUGGGCGUAAAGGGCGCGUAGGCGGACAGCUUAGUCAGAGGUGAAAGCCCAGGGCUCAACCUUGGAAUUGCCUUGGAUACUGGCUGUCUUGAGUUUGGGAGAGGUGAGUGGAACUCCGAGUGUAGAGGUGAAAUUCGUAGAUAUUCGGAAGAACACCAGUGGCGAAGGCGACUCACUGGCCCAAUACUGACGCUGAGGCGCGAAAGCGUGGGGAGCAAACAGGAUUAGAAACCCUGGUAGUCC